GCCUCGGUAGCGCAGUAGGCAGCGCGUUAGUCUCGUAAUCAAAGGGUCGUGAGUUCGAUCCUCCCCCGGGGCA